rnacentral:rRNA from 1 species
UGAGGAAUAUUGGUCAAUGGGCGGAAGCCUGAACCAGCCAAGUCGCGUGAGGGAAGAAUGGUCUAUGGCCUGUAAACCUCUUUUGAAAGGGAAGAAUAAGUGGCACGUGUGCCAUGAUGCCAGUACCUUUCGAAUAAGCAUCGGCUAACUCCGUGCCAGCAGCCGCGGUAACACGGGGGAUGCGAGCGUUAUCCGGAUUUAUUGGGUUUAAAGGGCGCGUAGGCGGGAUGCCAAGUCAGCGGUAAAAGACUGCAGCUAAAUUGUAGCACGCCGUUGAAACUGGUGACCUAGAGAGAAGUCGAGGGAGGCGGAACAAGUGAAGUAGCGGUGAAAUGCUUAGAUAUCACGCAGAACUCCGAUUGCGAAGGCAGCAUACCGGCGCCCGACUGACGCUGAGGCACGAAAGCGUGGGGCAUCGAACAGGAUUAGAUACC